CACGUAGUUAGCCGGCGCUUCUUCUGCAAGUACCCUCAACCAGACAAUGCCUGGCCUUGUUCCCUACUGAAAGAGGUUUACAACCCGAAGGCCGUCAUCCCUCACGCGGCGUCGCUGCAUCAGGCUUUCGCCCAUUGUGCAAUAUUCCCCACUGCUGCCUCCCGUAGGAGUCUGGGCCGUGUCUCAGUCCCAGUGUGGCCGGUCACCCUCUCAGGCCGGCUACCCGUCGUCGCCUUGGUGAGCCAUUACCUCACCAACAAGCUGAUAGGCCGCGAGUCCAUCCAAAACCAAUAAAUCUUUCAACCAAACCCCAUGCGAGGAAAAGUCAAUAUCCAGUAUUAGACCCCGUUUCCAAGGCUUAAUCCCAGAGUUAAGGGCAGGUUACUCACGUGUUACUCACCGUUCGCCACUAAUCCCCCGCAAGCGGGGUUCAUCGUUCGACUUGCAUGUGUUAAGCACGCCGCCAGCGUUCAUCCUGAGCCAGGAUCAAAACUCU
rnacentral:rRNA from 1 species